AACGAACGCUGGCGACAGGCCUAACACAUGCAAGUCGAACGCUUCAGCAAUGAAGAGUGGCAGACGGGUGAGUAACGCGUGGGAACCUUCCCAGUGGUACGGAAUAGCCCAGGGAAACUUGGGGUAAUACCGUAUAAGCCCUUCGGGGGAAAGAUUUAUCGCCAUUGGAUGGGCCCGCGUCGGAUUAGCUUGUUGGUGAGGUAAAAGCUCACCAAGGCGACGAUCCGUAGCUGGUCUGAGAGGAUGAUCAGCCACACUGGGACUGAGACACGGCCCAGACUCCUACGGGAGGCAGCAGUGGGGAAUAUUGGACAAUGGGCGCAAGCCUGAUCCAGCCAUGCCGCGUGAGUGACGAAGGCCUUAGGGUUGUAAAGCUCUUUUGGCGGGGACGAUAAUGACGGUACCCGCAGAAUAAGCUCCGGCUAACUUCGUG
rnacentral:rRNA from 1 species